CCCCAUCCCAGACACACGAAUGUUGCAGAAACUGUCUUUCUACAUUACACAGAACAACUACAAUCAGCUUGGCUAUCAGUUACAGGGUGAGAGCUGGGUUAACCAGGUUAUAAGUUUGUGAGCUGCAGUAGUUAUGGUGCUUAAAGUGCCCCUUGAAAUAGAAUAUUAAGUGAAUAAUAUGUUUAGACAAUACUACAACUUUUCUUUGAAUGAAUUGUACAGAAUCUGCCGUAAUAAUUUGCAUUGGCUUAGUUUCUUAAAAGGCAAACAAAGACUUUAUAAAUUUAGCAUGGCGGGCUGAGUGUAAUAUAGACAGUAACACUGGGAGUGCCUAGAUAAAUGUAUACAGUUAUACUGCCAUCCUCUGGUUUCCUGCAAUGCUGUGAAACUUGUGGUUGUCCUUGUUUGGUCUACAAAUUUAGGAGCACACAGUAGCCUAAUGGCAGCUAACCUUGGCACUUGAGAUCUUCUGUGCUACAGAUGUUUGUGAACGACUUUUCCCAUGAUGCACAGCCAGUCCACAACAUCUGCAAUGACAGGGUCAGUGCUGUAGUCGCUGAGAGAUUGCCCUCUGGUUAAGAUGCACAUCUGCAACGAUGUAACAGGGCACAGAAAAAAAGCAGGAACACAGUGUCUAAAAGUUCGCUUAUUUGGAAAUCGUACUCCUUUCAACGGUUCUGUUAUCAGAUGAAGCAUUUCCUUCAUCAGCGCUAAUAUCCAUAUAGUUAAACAAUGGAUGCGUUUCCUAUAAUUUCCAAAUAGGACGUGAAAGGCUCUCAGCUUUAAGAGCAGAGGAUGCUGUAAUAGGGCAAUGGGAAGUGACUGAGUCACUGAAAUGUCUCUUUCAUUCCAGAGAUUUAAAACAUUAAAAAAAGAGAGAGAAAAAAGGGAAAGAGGAACAGACAAGACUGAUGGAUGGGGAGGGAAGGAGGUGAGCAUGAGAUCUAAUUAAAUGGGAGUUUCCCA